CUCUCUCGCCCCCUCUCUCACAUCAGAAGCGCUGAAAUGCACCCCAGGGCCAAAUCGCACAGAACAACCCCUCUGAGCCAGAGAAAAAAGCUGGAAUCCGUUUGCCCUGAUAUUUCACCAGCACCAGCCAGGAGCGAAGGGAGAGAGAAAGGGAGAGAGAAAGGGAGAGAGAGGGGAAAAGAGACUGGGGCAGAGAAAAAGGGAUAGAUGGGAAAACGGCAGACCAGGGUUGUAUUUAUUGGUGUGAGUGCGGAGCUGUAGGCUGUGGGAUGGUGGGGAGAGUGCAAGGUGUUGCUGUUAGGUGUGGUUGGGUUUACUGAAAAAGUAUAAGCAUGCAUAGAUAGGAUGGUGGAGGAGGAAAAAAAAAGGAAGGGAGAGAUGGAAGGAUUGGUCAUGCGCAAGGUGCUAAACACAGACUUGACCUGUAACCACGUUUGCAUACGCUUGCGCUCACAGAACGCGGGGAAGUUGGACGCUGCAGAGCAGGAGCCACUGCAGCACUGCAUUGUAUCUGAGGGCAAGGACGAGGAAAGCAAAAGAAGAAUGGGAAGGCACGUCUUUUAGACAACAAUCGGCCUCUGAAAAUCACACUGUGAGGCCAUUAAGCUAAAAUCAGCUUCAAGCUGACAUUAACUGAAAGGAUUGAACGUUUUGUGUAUUUGAUUGUACACAAACACACAAAUACAUUUUUAUGAAUACUACAUUGAUUUAAGCUGCUUGAACGGGUCAGCAGUUCGUGCGGAUCCGAUUUUAGUAUUUUUACAACGCUGAAUAAACCAAGGGGCGCAGUAACAGCACAGACGCAGCUCGUGUCCCUGUGAUGAUACUCUACAUGUAGGUUCACAUGUCGGCAUAAUGACCAGGCUGCGCACAAGGAACAUGCUUCUCCCGCAAUCCGUCUUGUGGACAUGCGCACACACGCACAAACACGCUUCACAUCUGGACUUGUGUUUAAUUUUGCGUCAAAGUCCGGACAGGAAGCACCUGUCUAGAUGAAAUCCUGCAAGAGCGAAGGAGAGCAGCGGGGGAAAAAUACGCGCGGAGAAGAAAAACAUUAAUCCAUCUGUUGUGGAAAUGUGUGUCACAGUCGUCACAUUAAAAAUAACGUCAACAAACAGAGCGAAACCCAAAUUGGUUUGGAAAAGGCAAGUCAUGUGAAAUUAACACAAAUUUCAUCCCCUCUAAAUGUUAUCACGUCUGUCUGUGUGUGGAGCUGAAUGCAGGUCAUUCUUCCCCCCCCCACCCCCCAAAGGCUCGAGGGGCUGCUCACUAGCAGCCCUGCAAUUACGGAGCAGUAAAACUUCCAGAUGUGGGAUUAUUUUCCCCUCCACAUUAGCAGAUUAAAAGAUCACUGUCUGGGUAGAGUCGCACACCUGUUACGGGCCGACCUGGUGAGACCACAGUUAACCGGUGCAGUUGGGUUUCAUGUUGGAGGCGUUUCCAGACAAUAGCCACCACAUGAACUGUGAAAAACAAAUUAGAAUUAUAGCUGAUCUAAUAUAGAUGAAUAGAUUUUCUCUAAGUUCACCGAAAAUUGAAGAAAACAUCACAUUUUUACCACAUUGCAAGUUUUUCAGUGCAUAAAACCCUCCUAAAAUCCUCUUCAAUUUUUUUCUGACCCGAGUUCUGACAUGUUAAUGCAGCAGCACAUUCCAUGGUCCCCUUCCAUCCAAGAGAAGGCUACGUUUACUUAAAAGCUGCUGUGCUGUAUUCUUUCUAGACUUUGGUGACUCAUCAAAAGAAUAAAGUUUAAACUACAGCAAAAAAGUGAAGAAGAGAAAAAAAACGUGACAUUUUCUCACUGAUCCAAAGAGUCAGAGCGAGUGUUGGAAGUCCAUACCAGCCCAAAAUUGGCAUUUUCACAGUGAACACAUGUGACUAUGAGCUUUGCUGCAGCAUGUUUUCAUCUGAAACGCGAUGACCCCCGGCUCACAUCAUGUUUACACGAGCAGCAAUCUUUGAUUUGACGUUUCCCGUGGUUUUCUUUAAAUCUCAUAUUAACGUGAGGUAAAAUCAACUUUAAAUCCUGGCGACUAUGUGACCUUUCUUAAACUGAUGUAAAUCUACUGUAACAGUAUCUUGACCAGCGUUAAUUUGCUGUAAUUACUUCAUCAGUGUUUGUUGCUGUAUUUUCCUUCAAAUGCACUAUAAACAAACACAAACUCAUUCUGUGGAUUUACAUGACAUCUUGUUUUGAUCUACCCUCUGUUAGCAUCAAC